rnacentral:rRNA from 1 species
GGUUGAUCCUGCCAGAUCCGACUGCUAUCCGGAUGGGACUAAGCCAUGCGAGUUGAAUGGGAAGUCUUACUUUCCAUAGCGCACUGCUCAGUAACAAGUUAUCAACUUACCCUUUAGAGGGGCAUAACCUCGGGAAACUGAGGAUAAUUCCCCAUAGUUGGAUGAGCCUGGAAUGGUUCUCCAUCGAAAUGUCGUGUCGAAAUAGAGAUACGUUCGCUAAAGGAUAGGAUUGCUCCCGAUUAUGGUUGUUGGUGGGGUAAUGGCCCACCAAGCCUAUGAUCGGUAAGGGCCG